rnacentral:rRNA from 1 species
GACGAACGCUGGCGGCGUGCUUAACACAUGCAAGUCGAACGGAAAGGCCCUGCUUUUGUGGGGUGCUCGAGUGGCGAACGGGUGAGUAACACGUGAGUAACCUGCCCUUGACUUUGGGAUAACUUCAGGAAACUGGGGCUAAUACCGGAUAGGAGCUCCUGCUGCAUGGUGGGGGUUGGAAAGUUUCGGCGGUUGGGGAUGGACUCGCGGCUUAUCAGCUUGUUGGUGGGGUAGUGGCUUACCAAGGCUUUGACGGGUAGCCGGCCUGAGAGGGUGACCGGCCACAUUGGGACUGAGAUACGGCCCAGACUCCUACGGGAGGCAGCAGUGGGGAAUAUUGCACAAUGGGCGGAAGCCUGAUGCAGCAACGCCGCGUGCGGGAUGACGGCCUUCGGGUUGUAAACCGCUUUCGCCUGUGACGAAGCGUGAGUGACGGUAAUGGGUAAAGAAGCACCGGCUAACUACGUGCCAGCAGCCGCGGUGAUACGUAGGGUGCGAGCGUUGUCCGGAUUUAUUGGGCGUAAAGGGCUCGUAGGUGGUUGAUCGCGUCGGAAGUGCAAUCUUGGGGCUUAACCCUGAGCGUGCUUUCGAUACGGGUUGACUUGAGGAAGGUAGGGGAGAAUGGAAUUCCUGGUGGAGCGGUGGAAUGCGCAGAUAUCAGGAGGAACACCAGUGGCGAAGGCGGUUCCCUGGGCCUUUCCUGACGCUGAGGAGCGAAAGCGUGGGGAGCGAACAGGCUUAGAUACCCUGGUAGUCCACGCUGUAAACGGUGGGUACUAGGUGUGGGGUCCAUUCCACGGGUUCCGUGCCGUAGCUAACGCUUUAAGUACCCCGCCUGGGGAGUACGGCCGCAAGGCUAAAACUCAAAGGAAUUGACGGGGCCCCGCACAAGCGGCGGAGCAUGCGGAUUAAUUCGAUGCAACGCGUAGAACCUUACCUGGGUUUGACAUGGAUCGGGAGUGCUCAGAGAUGGGUGUGCCUCUUUUGGGGUCGGUUCACAGGUGGUGCAUGCCUGUCGUCAGCUCGUGUCGUGAGAUGUUGGGUUAAGUCCCGCAACGAGCGCAACCCUUGUUCACUGUUGCCAGCACGUUAUGGUGGGGACUCAGUGGAGACCGCCGGGGUCAACUCGGAGGAAGGUGGGGAUGACGUCAAGUCAUCAUGCCCCUUAUGUCCAGGGCUUCACGCAUGCUACAAUGGCUGGUACAGAGAGUGGCGAGCCUGUGAGGGUGAGCGAAUCUCGGAAAGCCGGUCUCAGUUCGGAUUGGGGUCUGCAACUCGACCUCAUGAAGUCGGAGUCGCUAGUAAUCGCAGAUCAGCAACGCUGCGGUGAAUACGUUCCCGGGGCU